CACACACACACACACACACACAAAAAAAAAGGAAUAGCACGAGAAAUUCUUAUCACAAUGGGCCAUCAAUAAACCCUAGGAACUGGGCUUUGGUGGAGGUCACAGCAAGAUGUUUACAGUAUUUCUGGAAACUAAAAUCAGGAAAUGCAACAAGCUGUUGUGUAAAAGACCAGGCAGAGGCAGAGGCAGCGUGGGAAAGGUGCCCAUCUUCUUGCUUUUAUUCUGUCCUAGUUCCAGGAGAUGGGACAGAGUGUCCAGACACUCAAGCCACUGUUGUUUCCUUCAAAAAGAAUGAGUUGUGCAGUGGAAAGAGCCCUGAUCCAGGAGCCAGAUUCACAGAAAUUCAGGGUUAGAAGGGUUCUCAGAGGCCUGUGUCUGAGCAGAAAUCCUUUCUAUUUCUAGUGAACAUACAGCAUCCAUGGGAAGAUCACCAGUGAGUCCCUCCCUUUUAAAGCAGCCUGUUCCUUUCUAGGACAACUCUAAUUGUUGCUAGAAGUAGUUUAUUUGUUUGUUUUCAUAUCAAGCUUAAAUCUGCCAAUCUGUAACUCCCUUCCUUUGCUCCUAGGACUAAACCCUGGGGUCAAGCAGAGCAAGCCUAAUUCUUCUUUCACAAGCUACUCUUACAAAUACAUGAAGACAACCAGUCAUAUUUCCCCAGUCCUUCUCCCUUCUAAAUUAAACUUCCUGAUUCCUAUAAAUGAUCCUCAUGAGCUCUAGGCCUUUCACCAUUCUGGUUGUUCUCCUCUGGAUGCUUAAUCAAUCAAUCAACAAGCGUUUAUUAAGCAGCAAUUAAGGGUCAGGCAAUGGGCCUAUAAAGGCAAAAACAAAUAAAUGGUCCUUGUUCUCUAGGAGUUUCUAUUCUAUUCUAUUCUACAUAUUCCAGCUUAUAAAUAAAUGUCUUUUCCUAAAAGACUGAGCACAGCACUCCAGAUAUGGACAAUGUACGAUGGAAUCUCCUUUAUCCUGGACAUGGUGCCUCUCAGUACGGCCAAAAAUCAAAUGACCUUUCCCAGAUGUUGGAUCACACUGUCCACUCAUGUGGAAUCACUAAAUACCCAGACACUUUUCACUUGAAUUGUGGUCUGGCCUUGCCUUCUACAUCCUCUUCUCAUGCAGCUUGAGGUUUUGAAUCCAAGGAGAGGAAGUCUAGCCAAACUGGAGGAAUCCCCUUUCCAGCACAUGCCCACUCUUUCCCAACUCCACCUUAGUGACUUUGUUUAUAAUGAUUGCCAAUGACUGGAUCCCAUUGCUCGCUUCACCUCCUGAUGCAAAAAUUCUAUGUAUCCUUAGAAGCUUAUCAUCAAAACCAUCUCAUUUAGACAGCUUUCUCUAAUUCCCCCAAACCAGCCUUCCCUAGGGAGGAUCACUUCCUCAAGACCUAUACUACCCUUCUCUUGUCCACUUUGUCAUAAUCCAUAAAGAUGCAAGUAAAUGCAUUUCUUCAGAAUUUUAAGGUCUGAUGUCCCAAAUGAUCAAAAGAUAUAAUCUGUACUCAAAGGACUAUAAAUUCAAUGCAUAUCCUUUGACCUAACAAUACCACUACUAGGCAUGAAUACUAAAAGAAAUUCAAAAGAAAAGGAAAAUGAUCUAUAUGUACAAAAAUAUUCUUAGCAGCUCUCUUCUCAGGGCAAAAAUAUUGGAAAUUGAGAGGAUGCAGGAUGCUCAUCAAUUAGAGAAUGGCUCAAUAAACUGUGACAUAUGUUUGUGAUGGAAUACUAUUGUUUAUAGGAAAUGCUCUCAGGAUGCUCUUAAAAAAAUACAACAAUCUGGAAAGUCCUCUAUGAACUCAAGCAAAAUGAAAUGUACUGUAUGCAAAGUAAUAGCAAUGUUCUGGGACGAAGGACUUGUGAUGAGAAAUCCUAUCCAUACCCAGAGAAGGAACUGAUUGUGUCUGAAUAUGGAUUGAAGCAUUCUCUGUUUCUCCCUCUCUCUGUGUCGCUGUCUGUCUGUUUGUCUGUCUGUCUCUCUCUCUCUCUUAAACUUAAUUUUUCUUGAGGGUUUUUGGGUGGGAGAUCAACUUGACUUUUAAGGAAAUGUUCUUCAUUGUGUGAUUUCUUAAUUGGGGAUGGAGAUAAGGGAGAGAACCUAGAACUUAAAAUUUUUAAAAACAAAAAAAAUCAUGUUUUGAAUAUAACUAGGGAAAAUAUUAAAUAAAUAAAAUAAAUUUUUAAAAAAGAAUUUUAAGGUCUGCAAAACACUUUAACACCAAUCCUGUGAGUUGGUAUUAUAAUUGUCACUCCAUAAAAUCAUAUCCCUAUUUAAUAUCAGAAGCAGAAUUCACUCAAGUCUCUGCUUACUCCAAGCAGGGUUGGUUCUAUUAUCCCAUGCAUCACUGGGUACUGCAAUUACCUUAUUGCUUGGAACACUCCUUGCUAGACUAAAUGCCCCCAAAGGGAAGGGAAUAUAUCUUACCUAAACUUUUUGUCUACUCAACCUGCUCUCCUCUACCUCAAAACACAGGACUCUCUACAUAGUAGAUACCUAAUAAAUGUCUGUCAAAGUUGAAGGUGAAGAUGUCCUUAGGCAAUAAUAUUCUUUCUACAUCUACUACUGAGGAAUCAUUUGGGAGAAAGGAAGGGAAAGGGGAAAAAAAAAAAACUAGAGAAAAGGAUUAGAUUUGAAUUUAAAAGUCGGGCUUUGAGAAGAGCUGGGAUGAUAUGAUCAGACAAUUGAUCAGAUUUAUCAAGUACCUACUUUGUAUUAGGUAUUGGGGGAUACAAAGAAAGUCGAAAAACUGUCCUCCAUGAAAUAACUUACAAUCUAGUGGGGAAAAGAGAACACAUAAAAGGAAGCUAAAAAGCUGGGGAGUUGGGAGCUACUCAGAUUGGGCCAUGAUAAAGAAGUCCAGAGAAAUAUAUGGGAAAUGAAGGUGUCUUAAAUGGAAUUUUGGAAGGAGAUUUUCUAUCUCUGAGUGAUGGAAGGCCUUCAGGAGUAGAGGUUCCAGCUAUGAGUUCCAGGCCUUAAGUAGAUACAGAAUGAAAAGAUUCCUAGGACAUCAAGAAGUCUCAAAGAAUGCAGCCAGGUUAGAAACAAAGAGAUAGGACUGAGAGCAAUUAGCCGGAUCAGACUGAAAAAUGAAUCUUGGACGUCAACUGGUGGCGAUAACAGGGUGCAAUAUGCAGAUACUUAGCAGAUCUGCUGCCAGAGCUUAGACAAGUUGCUCACCUUAUCUGAUUUGGUUUCCUUACCUGCAAAAUGAAAAAUUUGGAGUGAAUGGUCUUUUAAGUUCUCUUCCAGCUCUGACAUCCUGAGUUCUAAGGACCUUCCCAGCUCUGACAUUCUCUGUUCUAAGGGUCCUCCCAGCACUGACAUUCUCUGUUCUAAGACCCUCCCAGCUCUGACAUCCUGGGUUCUAAGGGCCCUCCCAGCUCUGACCUCCUGUGUUCUAAGGGCCCUCCCAGCUCUAACCUCCCGUGUUCUAAGGGCCCUCCCAGCUCUAACCUCCCGUGUUCUAAGGGUCCUCCCAGCACUAACAUUCCAUGUUCUAAGGGCCCUCCCAGCUCUGACAUCCUGUGCUCUAAAGGCCCUCCCUGCUCUGACAUCCUGGGUUCUAAGGGCCCUCCCAGCACUAACAUUCCAUGUUCUAAGGGCCCUCCCGGCUCUGACCUCCUGGGUUCUAAGGGCCCUCUCAGCUCUGACCUCCUGGAUUCUAAGAGCUCUCCCAGCUCUAACCUCCUGUGUUCUAAGGGCUCUCCCAGCACUGACAUUCUCUGUUCUAAGACCCUCCCAGCUCUGACAUCCUGGGUUCUAAGGGCCCUCCUAGCAAUGACAUUCUCUGUUUUAAGGCCUUUCUCAGCUCUGAUAUUCUGGAUUCAAAGUCCUUUUCCAGCUCUGAUAUUCUGGGUUCUAAAAUCCCUUCUAGCUCUGAUAGUCUAUGUGUUAAGAUUCUAAUUCUGAAAUGAUGUCACUUUUUUUAGGAGAUGGGGGCAGGGGCACCAUGUAGUUGGAGAAGGGAGCUACAGGUCCUCUUUUUAAACAGCAGCUGUGUUUUUCCCAGGCAGGAGCAGAUGUUACUGUUACUUGAUUCCCUCAGCCCUAGGAACCAUGGGAGAGCCAAAGACUGAGCCAGGACCCCCCAGCAAUAUUGGCCUCUGGCCCUGCACCCCCAGGGGCCAUCACGAGGCUCCAGGGAGCCAACAAGCAAGCUAGAGUCUCUCUGGAGCAGCAACUGGGUUCAACACUUCCAGGAAGCCCCCACCCAUUGACCUUAACACCGUUCUUGGAAGCUCAAAAAACUGGGGCAGAUCACUCAUCUGGCAGAGUUUCUAGAGGCCUUCCACUGGGGAUUGGAGAUUUGGAACUAUAAUGACACCUCCAAGACUCCUGGCUGUUAGGACAGAAUUCCUUUCUUAUCAACAGGGGCCGCAGAGCGUAGCUAUUAAUACCCAGUGGCCCCAUUUUUCCUGAGUAGACAGACCCCCUUGCCUUGGAUUAAACAUUUCCAAAGGAGAACAAAGCAAAGUAAGAUCCUCUGUUUAAAAUCACAAUGAAUCCUGGGGAAAAAUACUUGUGGGUUCAAGACCCCAGUGUCUGUGACUCUCUGUCUCUGCCUCUGUCUCUCUGUCUCUGCUUCUGUCUCUGUCUCUUUCUCCCCAGCCAAGCAGGGUAUAUGUGUCAUUUCCCAGCAGCAGGAGGUCUGUAAUCUUGGCCCCUCCCCAAGCCAGAUGCCCUUGAAGCCCUGGGCCUGGGUACAGUGUGAAAUUCCUCCCAGAAGCCAUGGUCUAGUUAGCUCUAUUCCUCAUGCAACUUGCUUGAGAUUCUUUAAGGAUCUAGUACCUGGUCCCCUUUGACUGUCUUGAGAAGAUGAAUGUACUCAUAAGUUCACAAAAUUUUGGAACGAGGGAAUUCUGGAGGCCAUCCAAUCCAGCCUAUAGGGGGAGGAAACUGAAUCCUAAGAAGUGAUCUGUCCAGGCUCAUAAAGUGAGUUUAUGACAGGUCUGGGACCAAAAUUUAGUUCUCCUACUUCCAGUUCAGAUCAGUGGAAACAUUAUAUCAUAAAGUUUGUCAAUUCAAUUCACAAAGUAUUUAUUGAAUUGACAACAUGUGUCAGACAUUUUUUUGAACUUUUCUAUAAUUUCAUCUGGAUAGGGAAGCCCUUGAAAGGAACUUUCCCUUCCAAAGCAGAUCAACUUUCUUUCCCAUAGUCAGAGAGCUGCCUGGGCCACUUAAACGUUGUGAUUUGUUCCAGGUCACGUAGCCAAUGUGUGUCAGAGAGAGGUCUUGAAUCUACUCUCCAUAAGUCUUACACCAGUUCACCAUCCACUAACCCAGGAUACCUAAAUGGGUAUUUUUUUUAAAUUUAUUUUAUAGUACAUUCUUUCAAGGAGUUAAUGGUUUUUUAUAGUAAAAGGACACUUACAUAUGUGAAAUAAUCAUAUAUUAAUAUUGAUUUUUUAAAAAUCUAGAACAAAGAUUUCUUCAGUGUAGGAAAGUCCUCUAUAUGGAAACUCUCUUUACCAAUGCAGUUCAGCAACUGAUCUCUAACAGCUUUUGUUUUAUUUUAUUUUGUCAAUUAAGUAUUUCUUUCUUUUUCCUCCUAUUGUCUCCUUCCCUGCUCCCACUGAAAAGGAAAAGAAAAACAAAACCUUUAUAACAGGUAUACGUUGUCUGGCAAAACAAAUUCCUACAUUGGCCAUAUUUUAAAAUGUACAUUGAAUCCUUCAUCUUUGAAUCAGGACAUCGAUCCUCUGGAAUCAUCAUUGGUUGUUGCAAUUGAUUAGAACUCUUGAGUAUUUUAAAGUUGUUUGUCUUUAUAAAGUUGUUAUUGUAUAAAUUA